rnacentral:rRNA from 1 species
GACGAACGCUGGCGGCGUGCUUAACACAUCCAAGUCGAACGGAAAGGCCCCUUUGGGGGUCCUCGAGUGGCGAACGGGUGAGUAACACGUGAGUAACCUGCCCUUGACUUCGGGAUAACUUCAGGAAACUGGGGCUAAUACCGGAUAGGAAUCCUUGCUGCAUGGUGGGGGUUGGAAAGCUUCGGCGGUUUUGGAUGGACUCGCGGCUUAUCAGCUUGUUGGUGGGGUAGUGGCUUACCAAGGCUUUGACGGGUAGCCGGCCUGAGAGGGCGACCGGCCACAGUGGGACUGAGAUACGGCCCAGACUCCUACGGGAGGCAGCAGUGGGGAAUAUUGCACAAUGGGCGGAAGCCUGAUGCAGCAACGCCGCGUGCGGGAUGACGGCCUUCGGGUUGUAAACCGCUUUCAGCAGGGGCGAAGCUUGUGGUGACGGUACCUGCAGAAGAAGCACCGGCUAACUACGUG